rnacentral:rRNA from 1 species
CAGUAGCCACGGUAAUACGGAGGGUGCAAGCGUUAAUCGGAAUUACUGGGCGUAAAGCGUGCGUAGGCGGUUCGUUAAGUCUGUUGUGAAAGCCCCGGGCUCAACCUGGGAAUGGCAAUGGAUACUGGCGAGCUAGAGUGUGUCAGAGGAUGGUGGAAUUCCCGGUGUAGCGGUGAAAUGCGUAGAGAUCGAGAGGAACAUCAGUGGCGAAGGCGGCCAUCUGGGACAACACUGACGCUGAGGCACGAAAGCGUGGGGAGCAAACAGGAUUAGAUACCCCUGUAGUCCCUGUCUUUUAUAC